UGUGUUUCCCACUCCAAGCAGCCACGAGGUCACGCACAGCACGGGGCAGACAUCUUCGUGUCCAUCCUGAGAGUUAACCAUUUCUAUGGUCACUGACGGAGGGUUUGAUGGAGCCGACAGCAGGCAACUUGAGGGACUCAGUAGCAGGGGUGUCGACGAGGAACUUAUUGAGAAACUGGAAAAUGAAAAGGAACCACUCACGGAGGACAGCAUUUCCAAGGAAACUGCGUUGAGGAUUAGAUUCAGACUUAGCUGCAGAGCAAACAUGAAUAUGCAACACCAAAGGAAAAAAAGCCAACUUGACAGAUCAUUUUUUGUCCCUCUACGGUUAUAAACAAUGUCUAGUUCUUUGGUCAAGCCAGUGUAGUGGGAUAAAACGCCUUGGCCUGUUCCUCCCAAAACAACCACUAGAUUGAGCAAAUACAUUUUACCCUUUGCCAUGCAAUACAUUAAUGACUGGAGUGGGACAUUCUAAUUAAACCAGGGAAGAGAUGUACUGGAAGAUGAGACACAGUCAGUGAUCAAAUAUGCAGUGGAUGCAAUUGGCCACUGAGCGUCACCAGGUGUCUCCUUGUAAGUCAAAGGCAUCUGCUAAAUACUAAUGUAAUGUAAUAUAAAAAGGUGGUGCAGUCAGACCCUAAGUAUGCUUAAAGUCAUUGGGUUUUUUGAAUUACAUAAAUAUUGACCUACCAAGCGUGUGUGUUUUCUGCUAUGCCAAGUUUUGAUUCGCCACAACGCUUAAACUUGCUGACAUGGUUCAACUACUUCAGGGAAAAAAUGAAGUUUUAGUGUUCUGUGUCCAGAAAUUGUGUUUCAUCUUUCCCCUUCAAAUGUACAGGUAUGUAAUUUUUAAAAUGGAAAUAAAUACGGUAUGCCAGUCUGUGGUGUUUGGA